rnacentral:misc_RNA from 1 species
GCUUUAUCUAUUUAUAUCUUAAUUGUCAGAUGCAUCUCUAAGUACGUUUCAAAGAGCUCAGAUAUGAUUAUUGCUCUCAAAGAAAAAGCUGAUGCACUUGUCACAGUCUUAAGUUUCAUUACUUUUUCCUCAUGCUAUUCUCUUCUAAUCGGUAGUUUGAACAUUCUUACCCAUUGAUUUCAACAUCUACACUUCCCUCAACAUUAAAGUUAAAGUUUUUGGGCCUCGUCAUCAGAAUGAAUAGCACUUAAUUAUCCUUUCUAGAGGAUAACACAAAACUAUAUAAAAUCUUAAUAAUAAUAUCAGAGGAUACACACCUAUAAGACCUUGAAACAUUCACCAAAUCCAAAGAUUACAAGACCACUCUGGUUGGACAAAAAUGUUUAGAUGGGUUAAUGCCACUCCAUGGACUUCAAAACUAGUCAGUACAAAAAGCAAAAAGAGCCCUGCAGGCACCAAGACAGAUUCUCGCCUAAGGCAACAGGGUGCCCAAGCAAAGCAAGGCACUGAUUCCAAAGAAUAAUUAUUUUAUGCCGAUCUUCUUUGUCUCUCUUCUUUUUUUUCUACUUAUGAUCGGAAGAAA